UACAGAGGUCUCAAGCGUUGUUCGGAUUCAUUGGGCGUAAAGGGUGCGUAGGUGGCGCCGUAAGUCGGGUGUGAAAUUUCGGAGCUUAACUCCGAAACUGCAUUCGAUACUGCGGUGCUUGAGGACUGGAGAGGAGACUGGAAUUCAUGGUGUAGCAGUGAAAUGCGUAGAGAUGUGGAGGAAUACCGAUGGCGAAGGCAGCCCCCUGGGCCAAUACUGACGCUCAUGCACGAAAGCGUGGGGAGCAAACAGG
rnacentral:rRNA from 1 species